GAAGAUGAAGGUGGCUGUGCUCAGCGUGGCCCUGCUCUUCUCCAUCCUGCUGUGCCCCCCGGCACAGGCCAAGGCACUCCUGGAAGGAACCCAAGAUGAUCUCCAGGAGCUCUCUCUGCAGUUGGAUUUAGACAAUGUCGUGGUCCUGGAAACGCCUCUG